rnacentral:lncRNA from 1 species
AUUCCAAAGUGUCCUAUGUAUUUUGUCAUAGGGUAUGAUUCAAGGUUACAUGUACAUCUAUAUUUGUUUGAUGGGUAUGUCAUAUAAGCAUGGCCACAGUAGAUUAUGAAUGACGGCACUGUGCAUGUUUAUGUACGUAAUCAGUAUGUCCAUAAUAAUGAUUAUUAGAAAUAUUGAAAGAAACUAAAGGGAAUAAGCAUUUAUGUCUUGUCAAACACUUGGCAUUACUAAUGUAUUUU